rnacentral:rRNA from 1 species
GUAGUCCAUGCCGUAAACGUUGGGCACUAGGUGUGGGGGACAUUCCACGUUUUCCGCGCCGUAGCUAACGCAUUAAGUGCCCCGCCUGGGGAGUACGGCCGCAAGGCUAAAACUCAAAGGAAUUGACGGGGGCCCGCACAAGCGGCGGAGCAUGCGGAUUAAUUCGAUGCAACGCGAAGAACCUUACCAAGGCUUGACAUGGGCCGGACCGGGCUGGAAACAGUCCUUCCCCUUUGGGGCCGGUUCACAGGUGGUGCAUGGUUGUCGUCAGCUCGUGUCGUGAGAUGUUGGGUUAAGUCCCGCAACGAGCGCAACCCUCGUUCCAUGUUGCCAGCGCGUAAUGGCGGGGACUCAUGGGAGACUGCCGGGGUCAACUCGGAG